UGGGAUUGUGGCUCAGUGGUAGAGCAUUCGCCUCACAUGUGCAUGGCCGGGUUCAAUCCUCAGCACAUAA
rnacentral:tRNA from 1 species